ensembl:lncRNA
GUCUCUAUCACAUUUUCCAUAUAAGGCCACUCGCUGCAUCCUCCAGAUGGUCCUUGGGGAUGGCAGUCAUCUGGCCACCUCUUCUGUCACCUGUAACUGGGCAAACUCAAAUACAACAAGAAGCUGAAUACAUUCAGGCCUUCACUCCAGCCUGUUUCUUGAUUAAAUGUAUUAUAUGUGUUUUGUAAGCGUGCAUGCAUUGAACCUUCCAUAGCUCCAAGCCACUUACUCCAUGUUUCGCCGGGACAUUCACACCCAACGGAGCUUUCAACCUUCUAAUUAAUUGACUGAGCCACAACUCUUUGAUAAGCACCAAACUGCAAUGUGUAUAUAAAAUGAUUACCUUUCCACCUGCAGUAAAAGAGUAUUAUGUGAUUAUGAUAACACCUGCAAUAUAGACUUUAAUGUAAUGUUGGCAGCUUCAAUAACUGUUUCAAUAAAAUGAUUAUCAUAUGGUUUAAUGCAAUGAUCAUGACUUAAUGCAAAGUUAAUUAAUGCAAUGAUAAUGAUAAUAAGCAUAAGUAGCAGUAAAAUAUUCCUUAUUCCACACUCCCUCUCUUGACCCUGUUCACAAACAGGGUCACCCCACUGUGUUGAGUCACUCCUCCUCCCAGUCGGCCACCUCCACGCCCAUCAGUGGCAUCAUGGCCACCCAAGUCACCGAUUCAGAGUUCACGGCCCUUGUUAUUACCUUCUCCAGCAGUCCUCUGGCACAGGGAAUGAAACAACAACCUCAGGUGUUCGAGGUGGUCGACCAGAACACACUUCGUAAUAAGCACUCUGUGUACACAAUUAUUAUAGUUGUCCCGUUCAGUGCUUUCCUCAGUAUGCAGAAUGCUUUGUAAGGUCCAGCGUGUUUAACAUAUAUGGUUAGAUGUACUGAUGUGCUUAUGUCAUGUGCGUUAGAUGUGAGUUGUCAUGUGUCCAUCUCUCUUCUCGGCUCGUGUAGUGUGUUCUGCCGUCUUCCAUUGCGGAUAGCAUGAUGAGCAGCGCCGUUGCCAGUAGUAAGUUGCCAGCUUCCACCUGAGAACACUUCAUGCUUGGGGUUGGUCACACCCAAAUGUAUCAGUACAUUACAAUAUACUACUAUACUACUAAUAUACAAUAGUCCAUUAUAAUAUUUUAUUCAUAUUUCAUUUUGUAUCCAUCAAGGGCUUCGGGUGAUCUGCAGUUUCACCCUUUCCCAAGCUGGAGACAUUUUCCUUUACACAUACAUCACUCCCUUGUCAUCGAACUUCCCUGAGCUAUCCCUCAACUUCAAGCUUUAAAUGUAUUUUAUUAAACAUUCACACCAUUCUAUCACUCAUACAAGUAGCAAGCUGAUCUUCAUUGCAUUUUUAUGUAUUCAUAUUUAAUUUAUGCAUCUUUUCACUGAGCUUUUAAAUUCAAACUAUCUCACUUCUGAUUCAUUUCAAAAAUAAUCUCACAUGUAACAAUUUGUGCAUGUGUGUUUUCUAUUCAUGUUUACCUCUUUUAAACGUGAUGUGGUGGACAUCACUAAACAAUCAUGAGUUCCGGCUUCAAUUUUCAGUCCAAUCAUACCCUGUAUUCUUGCAGUCAAACUCGUGCGGCUUCACGUCUCACUGGUCCCUCUCUUCACAGUGUCCUGUUCGGGCUUCAAAGCUCCAGCAAACACAGUCUGUUUCUUCGCUGUUUUGAUCUUUCCGUAUUCUUCUUCGAAGUUAAGUUCCCGUCCGGCUUUUCAGUCUUCUCUUCCAAGAUUACUUCAAGCAUGGCAAAUAUGACACUCAAUGUCCAGUGCUCUUCCACAAUUCUUUAUCCCACUGUUCAACUGCCCAGCCUGUAUUUUCACAGUACAUGUUGCUUUUCUUACAUGCUGCUGCUGGUCGUCAGUCGUCAUCAGUGUUAAUGGAUCGGGGGCACUGUCGUUUGCCUGCUGUAUUCGAGUCCGCGAUGUUCUGACGGUCUUCAUCAGGCGAUUAACUGUCCUUUGAACUUCUUCUCAGUUUAGGGACAAAGUGACAGGUGAAGCUGUAGAAUUUCAGCCAAAAAGUGGCCUGUUUUUCCCAAUUGUUCCUCUAUACUUUCUUGCCGGUUACUCAAAGUUCAAUGUUGAGAGAGGUCUACCUGUAUUGGCACACUAAAGCAUACAAUUAGUAUUAUAUUCAUUUUUUAUCUUAAAACCUCGAUUUGCUUCAUCUUCUUAGAAUUUAACUCUGUCCAUUUCUCUGGGUGCUCCCCUGACAUCAUCAGUCACACACACACCUUCCUAUCACACACACAGCAGCACAGUAUUUCCUAUUUCUCUUUCCUGUUUCUACAGAUUAAUCAAACACUUGUUUUUUCAUAUUUACAGUCUACAAACCCUCUUUAGUUUUACUAAGUCUUGGUCUAAAAACAAUACACCUUCCUUUCAUACACACUUUUAAAUAGAGCUCUUUCAAACAUAAAAAUAAACUCAACCUCUCAUACCACCCCUCAUGCAUUUCUUGAAUUAAAAGCACUUUCAAACUUUAAAACAUCCUACUUUACAUCACAAAAGAAAUAUAUUUCAUACACACUUUUAAAUGUUCUAACCUCUUUCAGACGCCAUGACUCAUCUCGCACACACUGCCUUUUCUCUCAAACUUCUCCCUUUUUCACUCACUCAGACAAAUCAUGCAGAGACAUUCAAAUCAAAUACUGACAGCAUUCACACAGUUAAAAUCACUCAAAAUAUGCUUUCAUACAAAUAUUUUGGACAUGCUGUCCGGAAAUUUUUUACAGCGCUGUUAUUCUCUCUUCCAGGCCUGCUUAGAACAAAAAUGAGAAAAAGAGAGCUGAUUAUUAGCUCAUCAAAACACAAAACAAAAUCACCUGACAGGAUUUCUAAGUGCACUGUUAUCAUUUUAAAGUGCCCAAUUCUAGACAUGUCCAUGUUUAAUAAAACUCCCUCUAUUAAAAUAAAAACAAAAAACAAAAGAGGAAGUAGACAACACCCAGUAACUGCGUCUGUCCUUUUACAAGAAAAGAAAAAUAAACCCAUCUCGGACAAUUCUCCCCAUCUUAGACAAAAUCUGACCAUAAAUGUCCUUUUCUAAGUCAUGUUCUUCUCUUCACACAACUCUUGACCUCCAAGGCAUAAACUUUGGACUUAUAACCGUCAUAUAAGUCCUCACAGUGCACCAAGCAUGGAGAAAACUCAAUCUCAGUGCUUCAAAAUUCUUACACAAGAUUCAAAAACUGUUUCUGUCAUUUAUCUACCCAAGAACUUCAUCAAAUGGACCUCGCUUGGUCCAGUAAUCUUCAGCACAUGUAUAUCACUGCCGCCAGCGCUGAUUUAAAAACAGUUUCUUGUCUCAAUGCACCCAGUAUUAACUUAUCACAUGGACUGCAGCCGAUCCAUCAAUAUCAACACAAUUGUGUAUCCCCAUGUACACAACUUAUUCUUCACUUGUAUCACAGCACAUCUAGUAAUAUUUUCACAAUUACUUCAACAUGGUAAACAUUGAUUUUCCUUUAAAAUCAAUUUACCAUUAGAACUCAAGAUCACAGCUGACUCGAUUCUCUGAAAUCCUGAGUCAGUUAAACACCUUGCUCAACUCAAGGUGUCCUUUUCUCGGACUUCCUCGUCCGAACUCACUCUUUUUACCCCGGCAUCUCACCAUUUUCUGCUUGCCUUUGUAGCCUGCUGCUUACUUGGCAGCCUCAUCUGCUUUCUG